rnacentral:lncRNA from 1 species
GUCCUUUCAAGGAUUGUUCGGCCUUGUUGCUGAAUGAUAACCAAGAAGUCAUCGCAGAAUGUGAGUGCCCCUUCUGCCAUAGAUUGUUCUGUGCCCAAUGUCAUGUUCCAUGGCAUGCCGGGAUCGAUUGUGAGGAGUAUCAGAACCUGACUGAGGAUGAGAGAGGAAGAGAAGACCUCAUGGUGAGGAAGCUUGUCAAAGAGAAUAAAUGGCGCAGGUGUUCCAGUUGCCAUAUCAUAGUAGAAAGAACCGAAGGUUGUCUACAUAUCACUUGCAGGUCAGUCUACGUUUUAUAAUAUAUUCCUUAUCAGAAACUUUGAAUUAUGCUUGGCUGCUUAGAAAUCACUCACAGAAUUUUGUGAUAUUUCUGUUUGAAACUAAUUUCGUUUGAAAUUAACAACGCUCGAUGGGAGGGCAGGAUUGAACUAAAAGUUCCCAAAUUGAUCCGAACCUCAUUACAUCAACCGUUAGCUCUCUGUUAGAGAUUGGUGCAAAGCAAUAGCUAUUAUAAUAACUUUAUCUGGUUAGGCUUCUUGUCUGAUCUUCAAGCUUAUUGGGCAUUGUCUACGCUUGUGGUUGCAGAUGUAAGUUUGAAUUUUGUUAUGCGUGUGGAGCAGAAUGGACUCAGGAUCAUGGUGGCUGUCAGAACAACUAAGUGACCAAAUAAAGCAUGAGAAGGAUAAUGUAACAAUGUGAAAAAGCAGGUUGUAAAGUUGUUUUCAAUCUUUGGAAGUGGCUCGUAGCAUCCAAAAUAGAACGAACACAAUUUGUCCUGAGAAGUUUGGUUAAGGCUACUGUUCUAGACCAAUAAGCAUACAAUGUAAUGAAUGAUUUGUGCAAAAUUUGUUGCUUUCUAAAUGUCAUUUGGCUUUUUUUGUUGCUAUCUGAAAGUAAUUUGAAAGAGAACUGUUUAAAAUCGAGCACUCAAUUUACUACAUUACUUUGAACAAGUGAAAUUCAAGUUAACUUAUGAAAUAUAUCCUGUUUCAGGCUUUCACCUGUAUGCAUCAUUUUAAGACAUUAUCAUGAGAUAAGGUCUGAAUCCACACGUCUUGAUAUACUUACGAGGACAUUUGAAAUUCACCUAAUUACUCCACAUUGUCAGAAAUAAAGGUGAGAACAUCCAGUACUUUGAUGACUCUGAGGAACCUGGAAACUUCUAUGUAGAGGAAACAACAACAAAGGUCAAAAUUCAGGUCAAGGCCACUAGGUUUAGCGUCAUUUUAGAACUUAGCAUUGCCAGGCUUGGGACGUUGACCUACAUCACAGACAAUUUUCUUGCUGAUAUCUUAGAUCAUUAACUAGAUUUUAAUUCUACCUAAUCUCCAAAAUAACCAAAUAAAUCAGCUAUGUUUUUCCAAGCCCUAAUUAAUCCAAAUUCCUCAUGAAUUAUGUCAACCUGACGGCAGCCCAUUCAUUCACUUCAUUCAGAUCGUCUUACGGGCACGAAAAAGAUUUGACUCCUUGCACCAACGCUUGAGUAAUAGUUCUGAUUCUUAAUUGGUCCAUGCUGUUUUACAUCUUGGGCUAAGGGUGUCGAGGUUGUCCUAGACCUUCACAACGGUGAACGGUCUCAUAUGAGUUCAGUUACAAACUUUAGCCCUUUGGGAAUCACACCAUUGUAAGUUCUGUAUAUGGCGCCAAAUGCUCCAAAACUUCCAACCUAUCCGUAAAAAAAAAAAAAAAACCACAUAACCCAGGAAACUGUUAACAGGACCCAGAACCCAGAUGGCUCUCGUCAGAGUCCCCUCUUCUUUCCCUUCCAUUCUCCCUUCAGUCUUUCCGAAGAAACUCUUGUCAGUUUCUUCCUCCUUUCCCAUUUCUUGCUCUUCAAAAUCUACUCCCAAUCAAGUCAAAAAUAAUGAUGAUAACAGUAAUAUUGAUAAUCCCAAGGGACCCAAGAGAUUGUCAGAGCAGUCUUCCUGGCAAGCCAAAGAUUCAGAAGGGAGAGAUUAUCUUUACAGGCUUGGCAAAGAAGCUGAUAACAUGAACAUAGCCGUUGGUGCUAGAGCUGGUGUCAUUGAUGAUCUUUUUGCUGGGAAUUUUCUUGGCAGAGACUGUAAUUUUCCUCCCUCUUGCUUUUCCUGUUCUUCUAUUUGACUUCUGAGAAAUUGUUCAAAGACUUGAAAUUAAUUACCUUUUUUUUUUCUUUUCUUUAUACCGGAUGUUGUGUUUGAUUACAGGCAGAAGGUGACGAGGUCAUUUGAGUAUCUACAAGGGGAUUAUUACAUCGCUCCUGCAUUCAUGGUAAAUAUAUAUGUUUACAAUUCAUUGCAUAUCUUUGGAAAGUUGAGUUAAAGGCUGUUUUUUUUUUUUUUUAUGAUUCAGGAUGAUAAGUUGACUAGAAUGUGAUUAGCGUUAGAAGGUCUUGUUUCUGUUCUAAGCCAAAUGGAAUUAGCACAGUAAAUUGUAAGUGGCCUUUAAGGAUUGUAAAUGAAUUUUGUGGAAUUCUUUCAAUUUUGCUUGAAGUUAGAGAUGCCAAUGUGUUACAUUCUGGACUUGUAGAAUAGGACCAAUAGGUAAAGUAUGAAGAUUGCUACAUGAUUUCAUACUAGUUUCUCUCUUGUUCACGUGCUGCUUGUUAUGUGAUAGAUUUAUUUUUGUUUGCGUACAUACAUAUUUUCAUUCUACAGUUUCUAUUUUUGGUCAAAUAUUCACUUCUGCAGCAAUUGGCAUAUAAUAAUCUUUAAUUCAACUUUACUAUCUGGUUUGAAUUUUCAUUUUCUAGUUCUAAUUUUGCUUUAAAAUAGUUGGGAUCGACAUGUCUAUAUUUACUUUCGCCUAAGCUUCUGAGACUACUGCAUCUGCAUAGUCAUCUACUUUUUUACUCAAAAUGAGGAAAUCACAAUCUUGUUGCUGCUGUUAUCUAUAUGGAUAACUAAUUGUUAUUGCAUUUCCUUUUCUUCCUCCUUUUUGUCUAUUAUGAUUGGUCAGAAGCUAACAUUACAUUGUGUUUGCUUUUCUCAUUGACAGGAUAAAGUUGGUAAGUUCUAUGAAAUUGCACAAGGAUGAGAAAAUUGCGAUGAAUGAUACAGGAGCAGUAAGGAAUCUGGCAGAAAUGAGCGAAUUGUGCAGACCUUUAAUUUUUCUGUUUUUAGAAUAUCCAUGUAGUUAGAUGUUAAUUUUUUGCCAUUAUAUGUUCUAAUAGGAGCAUUAUACUACUAAUGAUGCUCCACUGUCAUCUGUCAUUGUUUACCAUGCCAUAAUCUUAUUAUCUCUGGUGUAUAAUCUUCCACUUGCCAACCUUCUAUGAUUUUGCAACUCAACCGUGAGAUUUUUAUAUAAUGACCUGUGUAAAUUUUGCCACUUACGAAAUAUAUUUAUCGUUUGUCUUCUUGCAUAAUAACUUUUUUCCCUUUUCUAUUACUGCAGUAUGCCACAUCGUGAAGAACUUCCUUGCUCAUCUUCUCAAUGUGAAAAUUCCUUUGAUUCUAGGUCUAUAUUGAAAAUAUCAAGUUGCAUUUUUUUUCCUUUGGUUGGAAAGGGGGGAGAGAGCUAAAAGCUUAGACAUACUUGCUUGUCCUUAAAUUUGUGGUCAGGGUUGGUUCAUUUAUUCAAGUGUUCCUUCUAUAUGACUCCAUCCUUCUCACUGUUAUCUUGAUCAUAAUUUCCAGAAUACUUAUAUUUGAAAAGAAUAUUUCCCAACAUUAACUAUUUUAUUUUUUUUGCCAAACAUUAAAUGUCUUAUGGGUUGCAGAUUCUCUUUCUGACUUGUGUUUCUUACAAAAUCAGUAUUGUCUAACUUAAAACAUUGGCAUUUUGUCUUACAGGUAUCUGGGGAGGAAAAGGACAAGGAAAAUCAUUCCAAACUGAACUCAUUUUUCAGGCUAUGGGGAUUGAACCUGUAAUUAUGUCUGCUGGGGAACUAGAAUCUGAAAGGGCUGGUAAGACAAGUUUCUGCUAGUGUGUUUCCUUCUUCUUUUUUCUUUUUCCUCGUCAAAAUUAUUGUCAAACAUGCUCUUGAUUCUUUUUUCUAAAAAAAAAAAAAACACAUUUUAAACCUGUUAUUUCUUUUUCUCAGGAGAGUUAAUGUUUCAAAGAAAUUCCAUUAUCUCUUCCAACAUGAUUUUCUACAGAAAAAGCAAAAAAAAUUAUACCCAAUAAGUGAUUUUCAUUUUUCUUGCCUACAAGUUAUUCUUUGCUAAGAUAGAUAUGUCGAACUCUAUCUUUCUCCAAGUAUAUCAGGAGAUUCAGUCCAUUUAGUUACUUGAUUUAUUCAAUUAUUCUUUCCUCAACAGGAGAACCAGGAAAACUGAUACGCGAACGCUAUAGAACAGCUUCCCAAGUGGUCCAGAACCAAGUUAGAAGCUUUACCACUCUCAUUCUUGAUAUAUGUAUGUCUGGGUUUAUGAAGUUUAAUAAUGCACUUUUAUACUUAUGGUUCAAUGCGUGUGACAUUAGCCUUUUGAUAGUUUUAUUUAAUGUGUCAAAGAACAUAUUGUUCCUCCAUUUUUUCUUGAAGUACAUUGUGAUCCUCUUGCAUGAUAACAUGGGAUCUUCAUUCCAGUUUUCACUCAUUGAUGGUAUGAAAUAGAGUUGAGAAGAGCAGAGGGCAUGAGGGGACAAGAGAAAAAGUAGGUUUUAUCUUAGCCUAGCUUACUCUUUGUCAGGAAUAAAAUAAGUAUUUAGUCUCUGGAGUUUUCUUCCCCUUAAUAUUUGAAGACUUGUACUUAAGUAGUACAUUGUUACUGACAAAGUCUAUUGAUUUGAAGGAUGGCUUAUUAGCCACUUCAACUAAAGUCAUUUGCACAUGCUUGAAAAAUUUUGUGAAUGAUCUAUCAAAUUAGAUGAAAAUGUCCAAUUGAGAUAGUGAAUUCUAUUUCUUCCCAGAGGAGAGUUGGACAAAAAAAAAAGCCUUAAUAUUUCACCAUUGCAUGGGCUCAUACAGCUACCUAUGCAGCCUUUUGAUUAUUGUAGAUUUGUAGUGCUUCAACAAAACAAGCAGUCAAUGUGGCUUUGUUGCCAGCAGUUCCUAUACAUCUAAGAUUUAAAUCAGGGAGGACAUCUUCCUAGCAAGUUAGAAAUUAGCUUCGAGGUUAAGCCAUUUUAUAAACCAUGGUUCUCGUAGCGACUUGUUAAAUAGCAGGAGAAAGAAGAUUGGGACAGUAAGUAAUUGCUUGUAACAUGGGAACAAGUUCAUCUGAUUUUGAUUUUGCAGAAGAGAUUUACUUGUCAGAAGUCCUUGAUGGAAACGAAGGAGGAGAUUUACAGCAAUUAGAUGCCAAGUUUGCUGAACAGUUGCAGUUUUGUUAUAACGUGUCGGGUCAGGAAACCCAACCGCUAGACGUGGUGAAAAAACAAGUUAGGAGUCGCCAUCAAUCGUCUUUUUUAGGUUUGAUUAGUCACCUAUUAACUUGGUUCUAAUCGAUGAAAUCCUAAAUUAAUUUUUGGUCCGUCGAAAGAACGAUAACUGGUCUACGAUUUUUAGAGAUGGGUUCGUGAGUGCGGUUACGCAUGGCAAAGGGUUAGCACUUCCGUGGCGCCUGUUUCAUGAACAGUAUCAGUUAAUCUUAAGUUAUCCUAUUGUAAACUACCUUUAAUUUUAUUCUUAUAUUUCCUUAAUCUUUACUUAUUAAUUAAUUUUUUAUUAUAUUAGUUGAUUGAAAUUUUUAUUCAGUUUCAUGAAUGCACAUGAUAUAAUCGUAAAAUGAUGCUAUGAUUUGUUCAAUUUUAAAUGAUGAGAUUGGCAAUCUUUUAUCGAGAAAUCGUUCAUAGACCAUUUCAAUGUUUUGGUGAAAUCUCGAAGUUUUCCUCACCUAGAGAUAUCUCGGGAAGAACUCGUCUCUACGAGCUCUUUGAGGAAAUCCCAACAUCAAAAUUCUCAUCUCAUUAACAAGAUAAACGUGACAUGCUAUGACAGGACAAAAUGAUGAUAUCUAUAUGAACGCAUUUAUUAAUUUAGUUGAUUCGUUAUUAAAGCAAUAAUAUGUUUAAUAAUUUAAAGUGAUUUAUUAUCUUGUUCAUAUAUUUAUUAUUUAUUAUUAUAUUUUUUUUAAUGUAUAUUAUUUUUUUAGAGCUUUCUAUUUAAAUCUAUAUUCCUUAAUUAACAUUAUGGAUUAAUAUUUUUUACUUAACUAUAUAUUUUAUGAAAUACACAAUUAAUUAAUUUUUAAUGGUUGAAUUAACUUUAUUUAGUGAUGUUUGUUUAAGCUAAUUAACUAAUUACAUUAAUUUAGAUUUAAAUGCAAUAUUAUGUAAAUUUAUUUUUUUAAUAUAUAUUAUUUUUUAACAACGAUUAUUUGAGUUAAUGAGUAUUAGAGUAUAAAGUUUAGAUUUAUACCGACGCUUCGAUGAAAAUCCGUCUUGAACUCCGCACCUAAGAAAUUUACUCGAAAGAAGUAACUCUUUGUCCUUUUUAAGUGAAAUUCUAUUAUAAGAUGAUCUUAAGAUAAUCGUUAAAUUUUUAUAUUUAUGGUUUUAUAGUAUGUCAUGUUAUUUAUUUAUUUAUUUUUAUUUUUUUAUAUAAAAAAGUUUGUAUUAACAUUUUAUUUCUAUUAUAUACCUAAUUUAUUUUUUUUAUGAUUAAAUAUACGUGUUUUCUGUCUCCUCUAUCUUUCUCAUUUACGCAAGUCUAUUUUAUUUUAUUUUUUCUUUUCAUCCUAUUUAAACCAUUCACAUAUUUUAAGUAAAAUAUUUUUCAAUACACUGAACUAGGUCAAUCCACAAUAUACUUAAUUAAAACUAAAUCCAAAAAAUAGCCCAAAAAAGAAGAAGGACCUUCCCUUGUGUGGGCUCUAUUUGACCCAAGGUGCAGCAAAGCCUUUAGGUGGCCUAAUAGGAGGGCCUGGUGCUAAGAAAAUAUAGUGAGCUUGGUGAAAUUUGGUCCACAAUCUGCAUAUUCCCUCAAACCACCAGCGUUCCUCUCUUGCAACGCACCAUUUGGUGCUAAUACAAUCGUCCGAAGACACCACAAAACGACGCCGUUGUUGGCAUUCAAGCCCUAGGUAUUUAAACCAUUCCUUCCCCUCCCAUAUUUUCUCUCUUUCUCUCUCUACCUUCUCCCUAAGGGGUUUUUUUUUUUCUUUCUUCUUCUUCUUCUUCUUCGUUUUUUCUUUCUUUCUUUCUUGGCCCGCAGCUCUCCUUUCUCUCUUUCUUCUUCCCGGCGUCGCUCUUUUCUCUCUCUUUCCUUCCUCGCCGUUUCUCCCUAUCUCUUUCUUCUUCUCUCUCCUUCCUUCCCUCUGUCCCCCUCGCUGGAGUCCUCUUUCCUCCGCCGACCGGAUCUGGGUCUCCGGGGUCCAGCCCCUCCCUAGAAAACCCAAAUCGAGAAUCCUUCACUAUCCACUGCACCUCUCAUUUUUUGUGUCUCUUUUUUUUUUAUCUAUUUUCUGAUUUUUUUGAUUGUUGUGGAUUGUGGUUAGGGUAGUCUGCUGGUAGUUUAGGAUUUUUUUGGUGGCUGAUUUGUGGUUUUUUGUUGUUUGAAUUUGGUUUUUGUUUUUGAAAGAUUUGAUUUUUUUUAUCGUUUUCUGGUCUUCCCCAGUAUCUCCUAUUGUUGAAUCUGCCGUCAUUUUAAAAGAUCCGAAUUGUUCAAAGUGCAAUCAUGUGAUUUCACAGGUCUCCUGGUCUCUGUUCCUUUCUUUUUUUUGUUCUUUUUUUUUGUAAAAUUUUAAUUUUUAUUAUAUUAUUUAUUUUUUAUUAAUUUUUAUUUUAUAUAUAUAUUUUUAUUUGUGAAUAGGUGUCUACAAGUUUCAAGAUGCAAUAUUUUUUUCAGUCAAAGAAACUGGGUCAUCCUCAACCUCAAGGCCGAUGAAUAUCCGAGCAACCUCAUCGAUGCUCACGCCCAAGGCAAGGAAGUCUGCAACAAAAGCUGGUGAAUCCUCCCUAAGUUUCUGUGAGAUAUGUGCUGAAAGAAAAGAAAGGCGUCAAAUGUUCCCAAUCUCGGGUUGCUCUCACUCGUUUUGUUCUGAUUGCAUUAGCAUGCAUGUAAGGACAAAGCUCGAGGGUAAUAUAUCUAUAAUUAUGUGUCCAGGGGAUUGCAGAGUCAUUUUGGAACUGGAAGCAUGCAGGCCUCUGCUUCCUAAGGAGGUGGUCAAUCUUUGGGAGGAUUUACUAUGUGAAGAACUACUUUGUGCAACGGGUGGACGACUUUACUGUCCUUUCAAGGAUUGUUCGGCCUUGUUGCUGAAUGAUAACCAAGGAGAAGUCAUCGCAGAAUGUGAGUGCCCCUUCUGCCUUAGAUUGUUCUGUGCCCAAUGUCAUGUUCCAUGGCAUCUCGGGAUCGAUUGUGAGGAGUAUCAGAACCUGACUGAGGAUGAGAGAGGAAGAGAAGACCUCAUGGUGAGGAAGCUUGUCAAAUAGAAUAAAUGGCGCAGGUGUCCCAGUUGCCAUAUCAUAGUAGAAAGAACCGAAGGUUGUGUACAAAUGACUUGCAGGUCAGUCUACGUUUUAAAAUAUAUUCCUUAUCAGAAACUUUGAAUUAUGCUUGGUUGCUUAGAAAUCACUUACAGAAAUUUGUGAUAUUUCUGUUUGAAACUAAUUUCGUUUGAAAUUAACAACGCUCGAUGGGAGGGCAGGAUUGAACUAAAAGUUCCCAAAUUGAUCCGAACCUCAUUACAUCAACCGUUAGCUCUCUGUUAGAGAUUGGUGCAAAGCAAUAGCUAUUAUAAUAACUUUAUCUGGGUAGGCUUCUUGUCUGAUCUUCAAGCUUAUUGGGCAUUGUCUACGCUUGUGGUUGCAGAUGUAAGUUUG